GUGCUCACUUUAGCAGCACAAAUACUAAAACUGGAACCAUACAGGGAAGAUUAGCGUGGCCCCUGAGCAAGCUGACGCCCAAAGUCAUGACGUGUUCCGUGGUUGU